CGGCUGGUACAAGAGCACGA
rnacentral:miRNA from 1 species